UACGGAGGGUGCGAGCGUUAAUCGGAAUUACUGGGCGUAAAGCGCGCGUAGGCGGCUUUGCAAGUCGGGUGUGAAAUCCCCAGGCUUAACCUGGGAACUGCAUUCGAGACUGCAUAGCUAGAGUAUCGGAGAGGGAAGUGGAAUUUCAGGUGUAGCGGUGAAAUGCGUAGAUAUCUGAAGGAACAUCAGUGGCGAAAGCGACUUCCUGGACGAAUACUGACGCUCAUGUGCGAAAGCGUGGGGAGCAAACAGG
rnacentral:rRNA from 1 species